CAAUAGCGUAUAUUAAAGUUGUUGCAGUUAAAAAGCUCGUAGUUGAAUUUCUGGGCGGCCCGCCGGUCUUCCAUGUGUUGUACUGGGCGGCGCCGGCCAUCCUUGUGGAGAGGGCUCGCAUUUGGUUGCGUGUCGGAUCUGCAUCAUUUACUGUGAAAAAAUUAGAGUGUUUAAGGCAGGCUGUCGCUUGAAUACAUUAGCAUGGAAUAAUAAGAUAGGACUUCGGUCUAUUUUGUUGGUUGCGAACCGAGGUAAUGAUUAAUAGGGAUAGUUGGGGGUAUUCAUAUUUAAUUGUCAGAGGUGAAAUUCUUGGAUUUAUGAAAGAUGAACAACUGCGAAAGCAUUUACCAAGGAUGUUUUCAUUAA
rnacentral:rRNA from 1 species